rnacentral:rRNA from 1 species
UACAUGGGGUGCAACCGUUGCUCGGAAUUAUUGGGCGUAAAGCGCACGUAGGCGGUCCAGCAAGUCGGGUGUGAAAGCCCUCGGCUUAACCGAGGAAGUGCAUUCGAAACUACUGGACUUGAAUACUGAAGAGGAUCGCGGAAUUCCCGGUGUAGAGGUGAAAUUCGUAGAUAUCGGGAGGAACACCAGUGGCGAAGGCGGGUCUCUGGACAGGUCCUGACGCUGAGGCACGAAGGUCAGGGGAGCAAACGGG